GGCGCCCUGAUAGCGGGAGCCCGAGAAGGCGCGGUAGCGCCAAGGGCGGUCGCCUUAGCCAAGGUCUGGCGCACUAUGACAGCGGCGGGGUUUCCCACAGAGACUACAGACUCGCAGUGUCGGGGGACGAAGUCCGGGCCAGCCCUGCCAGGGAACCUCGAGGCAUGGUGCUCUGGCCGACCCCUAGCCCGGUCGCUGGUCCGGUCCCCAGGGACAGCAAGCUGAGCGGCCUGUGAGCAGCAGCAGCGUCAAGGUUUCGGUAGGAAGGCAUCAUCCUGAAAUGAUAUCAGUAAGCAAGAGAAGCGUCUAAAGAAAUUGGAAGAACUAAAAUUUGAAACCCAGAAGUGUAAAUUCCAGAGGGAUGUACUUUCUCAAAUCCUGGACCUUUAUAUCUAUGAUGAUUGGGACUAUAGGUAGUCAUUAUGCCCAGUCACCUGUUCACUGUCUUGUGCUCUCUCUGCUAACCCAAGAUUUCUUUACAUCAAGAGAGUUUUUCACUCCUCAUCCUGGAUUUCAAAGAGCCUUGGCAGGUGUGGCCUGUUGAGAUAAGCUAGGUGCUGUGGGCUUAGGGUCAAGCUCUUUUGUACUUGAGCCUGAGGUGCUUGGAGUUGGAUUGGUUCUGUCAACAGCUGGAAGGACCUGGUCACAUUUGCUGCAUCUAGGAGUGUGAAUGAAAUGCCUGCAUGUCAUCACUCUUUUACCCUGAAUCUGUUCAUUGUUCACUGAUUCUAAGGCACCUCCCUGGAUAUAGUUGGCAUUCUAAUUGUACUUAAAUAUGGGUUGGUAUACAUGUAUGUGAAAGUAUUUGUGAGUGUUUUGCUCAGGAUCAGGACAUCUGGGGACCUUUGAUGGGCUCUGAGGAUUUGUUUGAUGAACAGUUUAUAGGUCAUGAUAGUGAUGAGUCUGUGGAGGCCCACAUUGAUCAAUAGAGCACUUUGCACCUUCUAUUUACCUUGGUGGAAGAUAGGACUCUCUGGAGGGAAGGAGAUGUUAUAAAUCCUCUGCCCUGUCAAAAGUAUUUAUGCCCUCUGGGAAUUCAUGUAACGAUAGGAAACAAUGAUUGAGAAUCCCUGCUUUCAAAACAAAAGAAAUGUCAUUGCCACUUUCUGUUGGACCUAAGGUUGUGGCACAAACUUGAGGAAACUUCUUACAGAACUAGUCAAUGCCUUCAUGCUCACCUGGCCAACUCUUGAAGGUCAGCUCCCUCCAAUUGGUACCCUGGCUCUAUUGUCCUGUACCCAGGAUAAUAAGUUUAAUCAGCACCAAUAGGACCCAGUUCAAAGGAGCAAGUCUGUGAUAUAUACUGGCUUUAAGUAAUAUAAUACAGAGAACAGUCUGAUUUCACCUAUUUUUUGCCCG
ensembl:lncRNA